UUUAUUAAUGUAACCGACCGAACCAGUUUCUGAUUUUCAUAGCAUCAGAGCUACAAAAACUUAAACGGUUCGAUAUAAAAGAUCAGUGUGACAUCAGUGAUCAUAUAAUGCACUGUUUCUUUGGUCUAUUAAAUUCGGUAUGAUAAGCAGUAACGUUCACAGACAAGCACCUACUCACAUAAGUUUAUAACAUUCACAGAUUGUCAUAGGUUGAAUGAUUUUGGUGAUUGGAUUAAAUCGCAUUGUAAAGUACAUUUGAGUUAGGUACCAGUCAUGCCAAAGAACAGUUGUUAUGUCAAAAAUAUUGAGUUUUAAAAUUCACGACUCAGGAAGAACGACAUUCACGCUUAGAUGCAUAAGGGCUCAGAUAGUCCAUUGAUAAAUAAAGUCGGAUUAUCGUAUGGUUCAGCGCAGGUACUUGAAUUACUUGAGGCUAUAAUUCGUACCAUACAUUAGACUUCAAACGAAUUUUGAAUAAAUUUUGAUAAAAUUGACGAAGAGAGAAAACCUGAAUUAAAAACUAGAUCGUAAGAUAGAAAUACAGUUAGGAUUGAAGAAAUAAAAUUACAUCAACAUUGUGAGAAAUACUGAAAUGGUUUAAGACUCAAUAAAUACAGAGAAUAUUCGUAAUCAUACAAUGGAGAAAUGGACUCCAUUUAAAUAGCCGAUAAAUGGAUCUGUCCACAUCAAUAUUUAUUAAAAAAAAAACCGUUUCUUUAGAGACUAUAAAUCGAAAACGAGAUUUUUUACGAUGGAAUAUAAAGUGAGAUUCUGUUAGUUGAUCUUGCAUUUCUAAUCCACGUUUCUAUCACGAUGUUGCUAAGCUAUUUCUUUGUUUCAUUAUUAUCAGCGACGCUAGCAGGCCCUGUAAAUACUCACGGACCAGUUUUACAUUCGGCCCAAGUAAAAAUUGAUCGCCACGAGGCCCAAGCGAUCCAUACGAGUACCGGAGGCGGUGGAGUUUCAAGCGUAGCCGGUAUUUCUUCAAGGAAUGGCCGAGUGACGUCAUACAGCGGGGUAUACUCCCACUCUGACCUCGACACUCCAGCAGUCAUAGCACGAGCAGACAGCAAGGACCUCAGUUCAAAAACAUCUGAUGGAAAACCUUUGUAUAUAACCAAGGAGAUUGACAACGAGUUUACUAAAGGAACCGUCAAGAUAUCUCCCGGAUCUGUAUCGGUGACGUCAAUUUCUAAAUCGAGAUCCGCUCCCGGCUCGGAAUCUUGGAGGAACACUUUAUUGAUCCCAAUGAUGCCUAUCAUCUCCAACCCCUUCCUUCGCAGUUCUAUCUCGACUUACGAUCCGAGAUUCAACCCGUGGUUCCCUCAAGAAUUAUACGGUAGCUCUACCCAGAAAACCGAUAAUAGAUUCAGAUCUAACCCCUUUUAUCCAAAUUUUUAUACUUUUUACAAUAAUUGGCAAUAAAAAUUUGUAUACGUACUACUUUAAAUCUUAACUAACGAACUGGAUUUGAUUAAUCGGUUGACAAUUCUGACAAUUUUAUUUUAGAGCUUUCGUUAAAAUGAUUCAUAAACAAAAUAAAAAUUUAAUUUAAGAUGUAUUUUUUUAAAUACAAUUUCCUUUUAGCUUUUUUUUAUUAUGUUCAUUAGGAAUGUAUAAAUAUUUAGUAGUAUAAGUCAAUAACACCGACUAAUGUAUUCGAAGAAAGGUUUUAAAGGUGGUAUUUAUGUUAUCCUUGGCCAAGACUGUACGAAACUUGUCCGACAAGUUAUUUUUAUGUGACAACCAGUUGAUAUGUUGUAUUGCUUAAAAUACACACAGCAACAAGUCAUAAGGAUUCGCUUGAAGUCUCACUAGGGUCUUCUAGAUUUUAGGUUCUGGAUUAGUAGUGAGAGAGGAUUACAUACGAAUGUGUUUUCCGUAGCAUUUUUGUAUUUUUUUUGUUUUCAUUUACGAAAAAACGAUAUUCUGUAAAUUAAAAUUGUCUAAAAGAAAAACAAUAAAAAAAAUACUCUCUUGUCUAUAAAUAAAGGUUUGUCCAUAAAAUAAAGUGCUUACAAACACAUUAUCGCGCUGUUUUUCGCAAAUUUCUCAUUGUUGGUAGGGCCUACGUCCGCCACUAUGUACGUAAUGAGUCCUCUCUGCGAAGCACUGCUCUUACUAGAUCUAGUGUUAGCAAAUUUUCUCAGGUUGAGCCCGUGAGCUCACCUACCCGUCCGGCGUAGAUGAUAGGUAGAAUAGGUAGGAAAAAAAGAUGAGGCCACACGGGCCACCAUCCUGCUGAUUUCUAAGGAGGAUAAUGUGUUCCAGCUUGAAGACUGGGACAGCAUUUCUAUUAUAGAACUGAGACUUAGAGCUCACGUCGUAAGACGAGUUGAAUUUACGCGGUUUAUUUCCAUAGGCUUUGAAAACCACUAAACAUUAAGUUUAAAAAAAAAUCUGAAUCAAUUCAGUUUUUUUUUUUGCACGAUUGGGUAACGAACAUACAAAUGCACAUUUAUAUUAUAAUAUUAGUCUAUAUAUACUAAAUUGAAAUGGAAACAAAUAUGGCAACAGAUGUAGGUUUAAAAGUCUCCAGCAUGUGUCGCAAUAAAGUAAACCUGUCCAUCAUAUUAACGAAAGUUUCGCGACAAAAGUCAUCAUUUAACCUUGUAUAUUCUAUCUAUCAAAUAUGAGAUUGAAGCAUGCAAAAUUUUAAACAUUGUUAUUAACCUUUUGAAAUGAAUAUUAUACUGACAUAUUACUACUACUGAGAUACUACACCCAAAAACAAUGUUCGCUAUUUCCAUUCUCGAAAACGAAAACAGAUUGUUAGGUCUUAGAAGACAGCGUUAAAAGUGACAUUCCAUAAAUUGUGGGUCCAAAACAUUGUACGUUUCCAAUAAAACAUUGAAAAAUGAUAAUUUUGCUUUGCGCGCGACGCAAUAUAAUAUCUCGAUAGAACCCAGACUGAGUUGCCAUAUAAUUUCAAAUCAAAUCAAAUUAAAUAAAAAAAAAAUUAUUCAACAUAAAUGAAAGUACAUAGUUGUUGAACGUCAAAAGAACUACCGCCAAAUUCACAAGAACUAGCCUCCGUCCUGAGAGGAAUUGGCAAGAAACUCAGCGGGCAUGUUUUUUUUUUUUUUUAAUAUUAGAUUAUUUUUUUAAUAUUAGAUUUUUUUAAAUAUUCAUUUUUACAUGAAUAUAAUAACAUAACAAUUAUUACAAUAUUGAAAUUCCCGGAGCGAGCAACUCAUUCCCACUUUGUGCAAUCUUCUAUAUUCUAAUUGUGCUUUAUAUAGCCAGUUUUAUUUCUUUUCACGCGAAACAACGGUAUAGUUGUUGCAAAGUACGACUGCGCGCCGCUCUUAGUUGUGCGAGUGACCAAUCUGUAUACGCGUCAAUGUAGGCUAUAUUAUGUAGCCAAUGUAGCUACUGAGCUAGCUAUUAGCUGUAGCUACUGUACUGUAGCUGUAGCUAUUAGCUGUAGCUAAUGUAGCGCUCCGUCGGGUGCACACACUAACGAAAAUGUGUAUUUACGAUUGCAACUACAAAUAAAAGCCACGCGCGCUCGUAUUUUGCAACAACUAUAAAGCAAUAUGUUAAGUAUUUAGGCUAUAGUAAAUACUUAUUAUAUUAUAUGGGUGUAUCUGAGACCAUCGUAGGACUAUUCCUCACGUCCUUACGGAUCCAUCAGAUCCAAUAACCUUUGCAUUAGACGUCUUCAGCUCUAACACUAGGAGCAGGCUUAAGGACCCCGGUAACCGUACUCGUCGAACUCGACAGAGUUCGAAGUGCAACCUUGCCCAUGCAUCAGUUCACUGAGUUUCUCGCCGGAUCUUCUCAGCGAGUCGCGAUUCCGGGUAGAUUCAUUCGCGUAGCAGCUGCCCUUGAGUUGUUAGGUCUCCUUUGGAGGCGCUAAGACAGCUGAUAGCAAAUCCCACCCUUCCCGGCUGAACCUUUGACCGCCCACCUGUCCUGGUGAAACCGGAAAGGCCUCCGGGCCACCAGUAAUCCCUCAGUCCUAAAAAAAAUCCAAAAGUAAUGGGCGAUUAUAUUUAAUACAUUAUUUUUGUUUUUUCUUCACAUUAAGCUAUAUACUUUUCGUUUUCGGCUUAGCAAGCAUCACACAGAUCUAUGUAUUUACGAACGAUUGCAAAUUAUCGCUACGCUCACCAACAUAAGACCAACUUAAGAUUGCAAACCGCUGCCCACUAUUCUUUGACAUUAUGCAACUUGCGAAGCAGUGUGAUUCUGCAUUAGAAAAAUAUUAUUUAAAUAUAUUAAUUGAAUUAAAAUGUAAGUCAUCAGUGUUGAUUGUCCCAUCAGUAUUCAUGUGACAUUCACUACUCAGAUGAUACAUUGAAAUAUCUAUUACUAAUCGAACUAUUUGUAUGUUAAAUGUAGGUAAUUAUCGUAUAAACACAUGGACGGUAUCACGAUAAUUAUCGUUCACAAUGUAAUUGCAUAUCAUGUAGUAAUAAAUAUUUAUAAAUAGUAAUAAAUAACUAUACAUAUAUUAUUUUAUUAAUUUGAUUUUCGAAAUUACGGGUACUGUACCCCAUUUUGUAUGAUUAAACAAAACAUACGCCAACAUAUGUUUUGUAAAUAUGUUAGUUUAUUCAAACUAGUUAGUUAGUUAGCUAGGUAGUUUAUUCACACAUUAAAACUAGUUUUAGUUACCUGGAGCCGCUGCGGUCAUCGACGGUGCGUUUCCAGAGGUCUUUUUUGCCACGUACCAUCCGGCUACGGAAUGAGCUCCCCUCCACGGUGUUUCCCGAGCGCUAUGACAUGUCCUUCUUUAAAAGGGGGUUGUGGAGAGUAUUAAGCGGUAGGCAGCGGCUUGGCUCUGCCCCUGGCAUUGCUGAAGUCCAUGGGCGACGGUUACCACUCACCAUCAGGUGGGCCGUAUGCUCGUCUGCCUACAAGGGCAAUAAAAAAAAAUUAGUCCGUCAAUGAUGAUCGAAUUAAUUUCAAGCGUGAUUGAACUUAAAAAUAAACUUGUUUACCAACCGAUUGAAGUGAGCUGUUGAUUACAAAUGACAAAUUAAAUAUUAUUAUGUUCUAUAACGAAAACAAAGCGUUAAUUUUAUUGAAAAAUGUGUUUUUAAUGCAAAUGGCGCGUUUUUAAAAUGCAAAUGGCGCGUAAUUUUUUUUUUUAUUAUAAUCGCGCAGAAUAGCCCUUCGGACACGUUUCAAACAGCCACGAUCACUCCCGAGCGCAGUCUGCUUACGUACGCCUAACGAUGCGACUACAACUGGUUUUGCUCCUUGCCGUUUCCGCUUGCCUUGUGCUUGGGGCUCCACAGCGGUCCACCUUGCAGGCUGGAAAGAGCAUCAAUUCCGACACUCAGCCAUUUGUAGAGGAGGUCGUUGUGGAGUCUGUGCUGCAAGUUAGGAGUCCAUCAGCUGGAAGGCAAGCGCGGGUCAACACUCAAAACAAUCUACACGACGGAGCGAGAGUCGCCGAAGCAAAGAACAAAUGAUUUUGAACUUUGUUAACUAAGCAUAAAUGUGAAAUUUCUGUGUGAAAAUCCACAACGGAUUUUAAUAUGAAAAUCACUGUCUCCACAAA